UACGGAGGGAGCUAGCGUUAUUCGGAAUUACUGGGCGUAAAGCGCACGUAGGCGGCUUUGUAAGUAAGAGGUGAAAGCCCAGAGCUCAACUCUGGAAUUGCCUUUUAGACUGCAUCGCUUGAAUCAUGGAGAGGUCAGUGGAAUUCCGAGUGUAGAGGUGAAAUUCGUAGAUAUUCGGAAGAACACCAGUGGCGAAGGCGGCUGACUGGACAUGUAUUGACGCUGAGGUGCGAAAGCGUGGGGAGCGAACAGG
rnacentral:rRNA from 1 species